rnacentral:rRNA from 1 species
GAUGAACGCUGGCGGCGUGCUUAACACAUGCAAGUCGAACGGUGAAGGCGGAGCUUGCUCUGCUGGAUCAGUGGCGAACGGGUGAGUAACACGUGAGCAAUCUGCCCCUGACUCUGGGAUAAGCGCUGGAAACGGCGUCUAAUACUGGAUACGAGCUGCGAAGGCAUCUUCAGCAGCUGGAAAGAAUUUCGGUCAGGGAUGAGCUCGCGGCCUAUCAGCUUGUUGGUGAGGUAAUGGCUCACCAAGGCGUCGACGGGUAGCCGGCCUGAGAGGGUGACCGGCCACACUGGGACUGAGACACGGCCCAGACUCCUACGGGAGGCAGCAGUGGGGAAUAUGGCACAAUGGGCGAAAGCCUGAUGCAGCAACGCCGCGUGAGGGACGACGGCCUUCGGGUUGUAAACCUCUUUUAGCAGGGAAGAAGCGAAAGUGACGGUACCUGCAGAAAAAGCGCCGGCUAACUACGUG